UUGUGUGUCCCACAUGACUGUGUUUCCCCUGUCUUUCACAUGGGCAGUAUUUAGUUCAAUUCAGAACUGCAGAUAGUAUAGCGUGCAGAGCAGCAAUGGGAUGUCUGAGCACAAGUGGCUGACUUCCAGGCGUCUUCAGGAAGCACAUUUGUACAUUUCUCCUGAAUUAAACUAGGAUUCUGCACACUUGACAUCCUCCCACCCUCCUUGUCUCUGCAGAAGGAGACAGCGACCUGCACGGCACAACAAAACAACAAAUCACCACAGAGCUGCAGACCAGCAAAUGAAGUGAACUGAGGGCAAUUUGACCAACAUCAUCUGUGUCGAUUCCCCAGAAGUCGAUGAAACAUGUUAUCGGUUCUCCAAGAAGGAAGUUUGGAAAACUGCCAGCUCCUUGCACAAAGAGUGAAAUAAGAUGGGCAGAGAAGGAUGUUGGUGUCGACAUUUGAGGAUGCUGUCAAGUCAAUGGAGUUCUGUUGUAGUGGUUGCUUCAGUGAACAUUCAACGCUGUCGGCCUUAACACGAAGAUAGCAACCUAACCACCACAUGAUGUUUCUCCCCCACCCUGCCAAGCUUUACAAAAAAGGUCACAAUCAACAUUCAUUGCUGUCGGUGGGUUUAACUAUGUGGACAAGCUCACUGAACAAUGAAUGCAACUGUGGCCCCACAUUUUACAGUUGCCGUUGAGAGGAACAAGGAACAUCAGCUCCGAGAGCAGUAGUGAGGAGCAAAGUAUUUCUUAUAGGCUACAUUUUUCUGGUCAAAAAAAUAGUUGGGGCUAUUCGCUUUUUGCUUCCUUGUUUUUAAGUGUGUUUAACUUAAACGACUAGAAAAAAAAUCACUGCCUUUUUCUGGAAUAUUUUCCUCCCAGGGUUCAGCAUCAUUGAAACAAAAAUUCUUAUUCAGUAUAUAUGUGGAAAUAAGUAAGGAUAUGGGGAACUCUGAGCAUAAGAAAGAAUAUUUAAAUCUCAUUUUAACUAGGCUUUGUGGAAUAGUUCAAAAAUUUCUUCAAUACUUGUCACGACAAAUACAAAUGGGAGCCAGAGUUCAAUGAUACAGAGAAAAUGUUAAAUCAAAAGAUUAAUUAAUUUUACAUAAAACUGCUUUUAAGCACCUAAAUAAAUGCUAUUACAUUUGCCUUUUUAGGGAUCUGAAAGAUGGCAGAGAAGUGUAUAUCCAGUAAUAAUUAUGGAAGUCAUUCAAUUGUAAAAUUACUGUAAACUUUGGGUACCUAUGUCAUACUGCCAGUAUUGCUGAUAGUAAUAAGAAAAUAAAAGUGUAAAUAAAGC